GGGCCCGCACAAGCGGUGGAGUAUGUGGUUUAAUUCGAUGCAACGCGAAGAACCUUACCAGGGUUUGACAUCCUGCGAAUCUCUUGGAAACGAGAGAGUGCCUUCGGGAGCGCAGUGACAGGUGGUGCAUGGCUGUCGUCAGCUCGUGUCGUGAGAUGUUGGGUUAAGUCCCGCAACGAGCGCAACCCACGUCUUUAGUUGCCAGCAUUUAGUUGGGCACUCUAGAGAGACCGCCGGUGAUAAACCGGAGGAAGGUGUGGAUGACGUCAAGUCAUCAUGGCCCUUACGACCAGGGCUACACACGUGCUACAAUGGGAUGUACAGAGGGUUGCGACCCCGCGAGGGUAAGCUAAUCCCAUAAAACAUCUCGUAGUCCGGAUUGCAGUCUGCAACUCGACUGCAUGAAGUCGGAAUCGCUAGUAAUCG
rnacentral:rRNA from 1 species